AUUGAACGCUGGCGGCAGGCCUAACACAUGCAAGUCGAGCGGAUGAAGGGAGCUUGCUCCUGGAUUCAGCGGCGGACGGGUGAGUAAUGCCUAGGAAUCUGCCUGGUAGUGGGGGAUAACGUCCGGAAACGGGCGCUAAUACCGCAUACGUCCUGAGGGAGAAAGUGGGGGAUCUUCGGACCUUACGCUAUCAGAUGAGCCUAGGUCGGAUUAGCUAGUUGGUGGGGUAAAGGCCUACCAAGGCGACGAUCCGUAACUGGUCUGAGAGGAUGAUCAGUCACACUGGAACUGAGACACGGUCCAGACUCCUACGGGAGGCAGCAGUGGGGAAUAUUGGACAAUGGGCGAAAGCCUGAUCCAGCCAUGCCGCGUGUGUGAAGAAGGUCUUCGGAUUGUAAAGCACUUUAAGUGGGGAGGAAGGGCAGUAAGUUAAUACCUUGCUGUUUUGACGUUACCAACAGAAUAAGCACCGGCUAACUUCGUG
rnacentral:rRNA from 1 species